AAUAAAGUGCCUGAUUAAAGGGCUAUUUUGAUAGAAUAGAUCAUGCAAUUGCCUUUAUUA
rnacentral:tRNA from 1 species